CGGGAAGUAGCUCAGUUUGGUAGAGCACCUGGUUUGGGACCAGGGGGUCGCAGGUUCAAAUCCUGUCUUCCCGA
rnacentral:tRNA from 2 species